CCUACGGGAGGCAGCAGUGGGGAAUAUUGGGCAAUGGAGGCAACUCUGACCCAGCAACGCCGCGUGAAUGAUGAAGGUCUUCGGAUUGUAAAGUUCUGUGAUGGGGGAUGAACACAAUGACGGUACCCCAAUAGCAAGCCACGGCUAACUACGUGCCAGCAGCCGCGGUAAUACGUAGGUGGCAAGCGUUAUCCGGAAUGACUGGGCGUAAAGGGGGCGUAGGGGGUUUAGUAAGUUGGCGGUGUAAUUCCGGGGCUCAACCUCGGCGCUACCGCCAAAACUAUUAGACUAGAGUGCAGGAGGGGUAAGUGGAAUGCCUAGUGUAGCGGUGGAAUGCGUAGAUAUUAGGAGGAACAUCAGGGGCGAAGGCGACUUACUGGACUGUAACUGACACUGAGGCACGAAAGCGUGGGGAGCAAACAGGAUUAGAUACCCCUGUAGUC
rnacentral:rRNA from 1 species